GACGAACGCUGGCGGCGUGCUUAACACAUGCAAGUCGAACGGAAAGGCCCUGCUUUUGUGGGGUGCUCGAGUGGCGAACGGGUGAGUAACACGUGAGUAACCUGCCCUUGACUUUGGGAUAACUUCAGGAAACUGGGGCUAAUACCGGAUAGGAGCUCCUGCUGCAUGGUGGGGGUUGGAAAGUUUCGGCGGUUGGGGAUGGACUCGCAGCUUAUCAGCUUGUUGGGGGGGUAGUGGCUUACCAAGGCUUUGACGGGUAGCCGGCCUGGGAGGGUGACCGGCCACAUUGGGACUGAGGUACGGCCCAGUCUGCUACGGGAGGCAGCAGUGGAGAGUAUUGCACAAUGGGCGGAAGCGUGAUGCAGCGGCGCCGCGUGCGGGAUGACGGCCUUCGAGUUGUAAACCGCUUUCGCCUGUGACGAAGCGUGAGUGACGGUAAUGGGUAAAGAAGCAACGGCUAACUACGUG
rnacentral:rRNA from 1 species